GGACUACCAGGGUAUCUAAUCCUGUUCGCUCCCCACGCUUUCGCUCCUCAGCGUCAGUAUCGGUCCAGAGACCCGCCUUCGCCACCGGUGUUCCUCCUGAUAUCUGCGCAUUUCACCGCUACACCAGGAAUUCCAGUCUCCCCUACCGCACUCUAGCUAGCCCGUAUCCACUGCAGGCUCGGGGUUGAGCCCCGAGUUUUCACAGCAGACGUGACAAGCCGCCUACGAGCUCUUUACGCCCAAUAAUUCCGGACAACGCUUGCACCCUACGUAUUACCGCGGCGGCUGGCAC
rnacentral:rRNA from 1 species